UAUACCACUUCACCAAGUGCUUUACAGCUCUUUCUAAACAGUUUACAGAAUCAGCCUAUUGCCCCCAACAAUCUGGGUCCUCAUUUUACCUACCUCGGAAGGAUGGAAGGCUGAGUCAACCUUGAGCCUAGUAUGACUCGAUCUGUCAAAUUGAAGUAGGGAUAGCCUGCAGUACUGCAUUCUUACCACUGUGCCACCACGGCUC